rnacentral:rRNA from 1 species
AUCGAACGCUGGCGGCAGGCCUAACACAUGCAAGUCGGGCGUGCGGCGGACGGGUGUGACAUGUAUGGGGACCUGCCUGAUGGCGGGGGAUACCUACUGGAAACGGUAGCUAAUACCGCAAACCAUCACAUGAACCCAUAUGGGCUUGGCUUGUAGGUAAGGUAACGGCUUACCUAGGCGACGAUCCCUAUCUGGUCUGAGAGGAUGAUCAUCCAAACUGGGACUGAGACACGGCCCAGACUCCUACGGGAGGCAGAAGGGGGGAAUAUUGCACAAUGGGCGAAAGCCUGAUGCAGCCAUGCCGCGUGUAUGAAGAAGGCCUUCGGGUUGUAAAGUACUUUCAGUCGGGAGGCGGUACCGACAGAAGAAGCACCGGCUAACUCCGUGCCAGCAGCCGCGGUAAUUC